ACCUUGUUAGUACAACUGUAGUACACUUAUCUAUCGAUGAGUGAUCCAGGUUCGAAUCCUGGGCAAGGUA
rnacentral:tRNA from 1 species